UCAUAGUUCCGGUCAACAGCGGCAGGAAUGAGAAGCUGUUGACAGGCGGCGGUAGCUAACCACAGAGGGGGGAUGAGGCUGACACACUGCUCUGCUAUCUGAGGACUGUUAAACGACCAUGUUCACGAUGGUUUUGUUUUCAUCUAUUGUCACUGAGUCAUGCAGCAACUUGCACGUUUGCCUCCGACUACCAGUUUGAUGAAAACAGCUUCAUAUUUCUAUGAGGAAAGCGGUUCUGCUUUCAGAGAUGCUGACCAAAUGCAAAGGAAGAACACAUUUCCAAAGGAGAAAAAAAAAGAAGAAAAGGAAGAAAAAGAAACAACUCUACAAAUUUUAAGCUAACAUUAACAC